CACCCAAGAGGCUGGGGUUUGUAUCCCAUGUGAAACCAAUAACGUGUGGUUGUCUUUGUAUUCACAAGCGUUAAGUGUCACUUUCACUUUAGAAACAGUUAUUUUAAGCCAAAACACAAUGUUUUCCCCUAAACUUAAAGAAGUGGUUUUGUUGCCUAAACCUAAAGAAGUCUUUUUGUUUGUG